GCUCAAGUAGUGAAGUGGUAGCACGCCAGACUUCCAAGCCAGACCCCCAACGUGCAAUUGGGUCGGUCGUAGCUGAAAUCUCUGGAGACUCGGGUUCAAACCCCGGCUUGAGCA